AUGAAAUUCUAAAGCCAAACAAUUCUCGACGUUCCAACCCCCAAUAUUUUAAAUGAAAUUUUUGCUCAACUUUGUUGUCAUGUUCACCAUUUCUCUCCCCACUCAAAACCAACCCUCACUAUCGGUGGCCACACACUCCACCGUCCCUUCUUUAUUCAUUUUUAUCUCUUUAAGGUUAAACGGGAAAAAUUUUUCUAUUUUGAUUUGUUUUGUUUAAUAUUCAUAAGAUGAAAUAAUUUGAUUCCAAAUUUAAUAUGAGGUUUUAGGAAAUUCUCGCAAGGUUGGAUAAAAUGCGAUCGAGCCUACUCUAGUUCAAGUUCAAGGCAGAUGCGGAGACAAGAGAGGUGGAGCACUGGAGCUUAACUUUGGAUUUUAGAUACCUAGCAAAAGUACAACAAUGGCUAAAAAGGCCAAACUUUUUUUUUCCUUUUUUUUUUUUUGUCUCUCCUAAUGUUUCUCCCAGGGUACCUCAAGAUGUUGUAGUAAUGGGCAGAAAAUGCAUGAUUUAAAAGUGGGUAAAAGUUCUUGGGAAGGUGAGAAGGCCUCAAGAAGCUCUUUAGGAUUUCAAUAUGAUGCUUGUAAUUUUUCACUAUUUUAUCACUUUAUGCAAUGAGAGAUCUUUUUUAGUAUUUAUGCAAUGUUGUUGGUUUAAUAUUUAACUCCUAAACUGUUAAGGGAGACUGCCAGAGAGAUAGAUAGAUUAAUAUCCUGAUUUAGCUGCAUAUAACAAUAUUGCUAUUCCAUUUGGCAAGCUGGUCUUUUGAAGGAACUCUUGAACAUAAUUGAGUGCAUAAGGCAGAAACUUUGUAAAAGAAUUAAAAAAAUGUGUCCCAAGAAUCGGGAUCCAAGUGCUGAACCUGAUCUAGUUAUAAUUAAUGUUGUAUGUGAGCAUUUCAAUGCUUGUUCUUUUUGACAUUCUAUGACUUCUUUCAAUCCAUUAAAUUAUGAUAUAAUAAUUUU